rnacentral:rRNA from 1 species
UACGUAGGGGCCUAGCGUUGUCCGGAUUUAUUGGGCGUAAAGAGCUCGUAGGCGGUUCGGUAAGUCAGGUGUGAAAUCUCCACGCUCAACGUGGAGGCGCCACCUGAAACUGCCGUGACGUCGAGUCCGGUAGGGGAGUGUGGAAUUCCCGGUGUAGCGGUGAAAUGCGCAGAUAUCAGGAGGAACACCGGUGGCGAAGGCGGGUCUCUGGGCCGAUACUGACGCUGGAGGAGCGAAAGCGUGGGGAGCGAACAGGA